UCCCUCUAGUGUCCAGUGUUAGCCCAGCCCAGCCCACUGUGAGAGAGACUGACGUGCCACGCAAAUCUUCAGGAGACCCAUCCUCCUAGCCUCACACCAUCAUUCCCCAUCUCCUCGCCGCCGGCGCCGGCGCCGCCGCCUGCGCCAUGCUCCGCCUCCGCAGCUGCGUCGUCACCCACCUCCUCUCCUCUCGCACCGCCUCCCCACUCCUCUCUCUCCAGCGCCUCCUCUCCACCGCCGCCGCGCCCGCCGUUUCCCCAAACCCUAGCUUCGCCGUCGAGGACUACCUCGUCUCCACCUGCGGGCUGACCCGAGCCAAGGCGCUCAAGGCCUCCGCGAAGCUCUCCCACCUCAAGUCCCCCGCCAAGCCCGACGCCGUCCUCGCCUUCCUCGCCGGCCUCGGCCUCUCCGGCGCCGACGUCGCCGCGGUCGUCGCCAAAGACCCGCUCUUCCUCUGCGCCGGCGUGGAGGGAAACCUGGGCCCCGCCGUCGCGGGGCUCACCGGCCUCGGCCUCUCGCGCUCUGAGGUCGCGCGCCUCGUCUCGCUCUCCCCCGACCGAUUCCGCCGCAAGAACGUCGUCCCCAAGGCGCACUACUACCUGUCCCUCUUAGGGUCCUCCGAGGACCUCCUCUUGGCGGCCAGGCGCGGCUUGUUCCUUUUCUCGGUCGACCUCGACAUUGUGGUGAAGCCCAAUGUCGCGGCGCUGCGGGAGUGCGGGCUAGGUGCUCGUGAUAUUGCCAAGCUGCUCAUCCAAAUGCCGAGGAUCGUCACGGCCAGCCCAGGGCGCGUCCUGGCAAUGGUUGCGUGUGCCGAAGGCAUAGGCGUGCCCCGUGGCUCGGGGAUGUUCAGGCACGCGCUGCAGACUGUCGCAUGCUUCAGCGAGGACAAGAUUGCCGCCAAAGUGGAACAGUUAAAGAAGACAUUGCGGUGGUCGGAUGCCGAUGUCGGCAUUGCUCUGUGCAAGUGGCCCGCUGUGCUGAGGUGGUCCAAGGACAUGCUGCAGCGCAAGUCCGAGUUCCUCAUCUCUAAGGUGGGGUUGGAACCGGCGUACAUUGCUCACCGGCCCAUAAUGCUCAGUCUUAGCCUCGAGGGCCGGCUCAAGCCUCGGUACUAUGUUAUGAGGUUUCUUCAGGAAAAUGGAUUGCUAAGUCAUGGCAGAGACUACUAUGCUAUGGUCUUGGUCGGCGAGAAGGUAUUUGUGGAGAGGUUCAUACGCCCCCACAAGCAAGCUGCGCCACUCAUUGCUGAAGACUAUGCAGCCGCUUGCAUAGGGGAGGUGCCUGCUAGAUUCAGAUUUACGUGAACCAAGAACAGGCUAUGAAAAAUUGGUAGCUGCGUGUGCAACAACUGAAUUUCCACUCGUCGCAUUAAGCUGGUUGCCAUCAAAGAUCAGACCAUAGUGGUGAGAAUAACUGGCCUCCCUAUGUGGCAGAAGACUAUGAGUAGCAGAGGUUGGUUUUGUUGGUGACGGUCCUAAUUGUUACCAGGUCCUGGUGGCCUAUUGUCAAAUGAAUUUCAGAUAGCCUUCAUUCGAAAUAUGCUGCAUGGUGAUGGGAGGGUUGCUGGUUCGUGACAAUUUUCUUUGUCAGAUAGUGGUGUUAACAGAGCCUGCUGAUAGUUGACCGACAACAAUUCAGUGAAGGUCAGGGCUUCAACUCAGUUAUAGACUUAUAGGACGACCUUGUCAUUGUAUGAUGUGUGCUUCUUUGAUAGCUUGUGGUUUCCUCUUAGUUAGAUACAAUUUUGUCGAUGAAGCCGAUUUUCGUGAGCCUAAUCCUGACUUUCAAUCGAAGCAUGUCUUGUUGUAGUUUGGAUUUGCCUCACACUCACAGUAUUUGAGAUAUGUCUUUUUCUGAAGUUUUACAAAUGUAUACUGUUCCUCUUGUGUGCCGAGCGGCGACAGGGAGCGAAUUGUGAUCUCUUGAUGAAACUUGACUAGUGGUCCCAUCAAAGCCACGGGAAGCGCGUACCCACCCUGCUCCCCCCGCACGUACUCAAUGGCUGGCCCGUGUCUAGGGCGGGGAGCCCCUUGUGUUUUUUGUUCUUAUUUUUUUCUGGUUUCAGCUUUAAAAAAAAUCGGGAUUCCUGAAAAAGUUGCAAAAUUGUUGAAUUGUUCAUGAGUUCAAAGAUUGUU